rnacentral:rRNA from 1 species
AGUGAACGCUGGCGGCAGGCCUAAUACAUGCAAGUCGAACGGCAGCACAGCAGAGCUUGCUCUGUGGGUGGCGAGUGGCGGACGGGUGAGGAAUACGUGGGAAUCUGCCCAGUCGUGGGGAUAACGUAGGGAAACUUACGCUAAUACCGCAUGCGCCCUUCGGGGGAAAGCCGGGGACCUUCGGGCCUGGCGCGAUUGGAUGAGCCCACGUCGGAUUAGCUAGUUGGCGGGGUAAAGGCCCACCAAGGCGACGAUCCGUAGCUGGUCUGAGAGGAUGAUCAGCCACACUGGAACUGAGACACGGUCCAGACUCCUACGGGAGGCAGCAGUAGGGAAUAUUGGACAAUGGGCGCAAGCCUGAUCCAGCCAUGCCGCGUGAGUGAAGAAGGCCCUCGGGUUGUAAAGCUCUUUGUCCGGAAAGAAAAGCGCCGGGUUAAUACCCUGGUGUCCUGACGGUACCGGAAGAAUAAGCACCGGCUAACUUCGUGCCAGCAGCCGCGGUAA